GACAAACGCUGGCGGCGUGCUUAACACAUGCAAGUCGAACGGAAAGGCCCUGCUUUUGUGGGGUGCUCGAGUGGCGAACGGGUGAGUAACACGUGAGUAACCUGCCCUUGACUUUGGGAUAACUUCAGGAAACUGGGGCUAAUACCGGAUAGGAGCUCCUGCUGCAUGGUGGGGGUUGGAAAGUUUCGGCGGUUGGGGAUGGACUCGCGGCUUAUCAGCUUGUUGGUGGGGUAGUGGCUUACCAAGGCUUUGACGGGUAGCCGGCCUGAGAGGGUGACCGGCCACAUUGGGACUGGGAUACGGCCCAGACUCCUACGGGAGGCAGCAGUGGGGAAUAUUGCACAAUGGGCGGAAGCCUGAUGCAGCAACGCCGCGUGCGGGAUGACGGCCUUCGGGUUGUAAACCGCUUUCGCCUGUGACGAAGCGUGAGUGACGGUAAUGGGUAAAGAAGCACCGGCUAACUACGUG
rnacentral:rRNA from 1 species